rnacentral:rRNA from 1 species
GAUCCUGGCUCAGAGUGAACGCUGGCGGUAGGCCUAACACAUGCAAGUCGAACGGCAGCACAGGAGAGCUUGCUCUCUGGGUGGCGAGUGGCGGACGGGUGAGGAAUACAUCGGAAUCUACUCUGUCGUGGGGGAUAACGUAGGGAAACUUACGCUAAUACCGCAUACGACCUACGGGUGAAAGCAGGGGACCUUCGGGCCUUGCGCGAUUGAAUGAGCCGAUGUCGGAUUAGCUAGUUGCCGGGGUAAAGGCCCACCAAGGCGACGAUCCGUAGCUGGUCUGAGAGGAUGAUCAGCCACACUGGAACUGAGACACGGUCCAGACUCCUACGGGAGGCAGCAGUGGGGAAUAUUGGACAAUGGGCGCAAGCCUGAUCCAGCCAUACCGCGUGGGUGAAGAAGGCCUUCGGGUUGUAAAGCCCUUUUGUUGGGAAAGAAAUCCAGCUGGCUAAUACCCGGUUGGGAUGACGGUACCCAAAGAAUAAGCACCGGCUAACUUCGUGCCAGCAGCCGCGGUAAUACGAAGGGUGCAAGCGUUACUCGGAAUUACUGGGCGUAAAGCGCGCGUAGGUGGUUAUUUAAGUCCGUUGUGAAAGCCCUGGGCUCAACCUGGGAACUGCAGUGGAUACUGGAUGACUAGAAUGUGGUAGAGGGUAGCGGAAUUCCUGGUGUAGCAGUGAAAUGCGUA